AGCCAGCGGCACCUGGAAACUGGGAUGUUGGCCUGGAAAGGUGCACCGUCAUGGAUCCAGAGGCACUCAAGCGACGGACAUCGGUAGCCGUUCGUUCGGCCGCGAUAAGCUGUCCAAAUGGAGGGAAGCCUUAGACUGUCUCCGUGGCAGGGGCAUCCUGCUCAUUCCAUAUGCAUAAUGCAUUCAUUUGACAGCUCCGAACGCGAGGACCACCGAUCGGCGGAUCAGCAUCUGGUUAUAGAGUUCGCUUCUAAUGCCGCCUUUUGACUGUGCCGCACUUCCUUUUUCGAGCAUUUAUCCCCGCCGCUAUUAAUUAGAAUGUAUAUGGGGUUUGAGCCGUUGUCCCCGUUCCAUUCCCUUAAUUUUUGGCAUUUCAAAAGUUAACAGCACGCGACAUUUUAAAUAUGUAUGAUGCGAUGCCCUCGCCCUCGGACUGCCACUCGCCUCGUUUGUCGAAAUGGAGGAUGGCGAUGACGAUGGCGGACGAAAGACGAAAUGGAACGUCGACGGCAGGCUGACUGGGAAUGGGAAUGGGAAUGAGAAUGGGAAUCCCCGGAGCAGCUGUUGAAAUUGAUGCCUGGUCGCGUUUGGCAUUUGUGUCGAAUAUGCAAGUAGUCCUGGGCAUGUUAAGACAAUGAACACGAUAGCUGGCCAGCACGAACAAGGAAUACUCUGUUAUCCGGGAAUUUAGUAGUUCACUUCAUUUCAUUUUCAGCAAAUAUAACCCUCCAAAGCUUUCAUACUCAUUUUCGAACUACUUUCCUGUUUACAAACCCUUUUUAUCGUAACACGAAAUGUGAAAAUGGCAUAAAUGUUUCUUGCAGAUAUUCUAA